UGCAACCUACCCUUAACAAGGGGAUAGCUCGAGGAAACUUGAAUUAAUACCCUAUAUACCUUUUUUUAUGCCUAUAAAAAGAGGGAAAGCUACGGCGGUUAAGGAUGGGCAUGCGUAGCAUUAGCUAGUUGGUACGGUAACAGCGUACCAAGGCAACGAUGCUUAGGGGUUCUAAAAGGAAGAUCCCCCACACUGGUACUGAGACACGGACCAGACUCCUACGGGAGGCAGCAGUGAGGAAUAUUGGGCAAUGGAUGGAAGUCUGACCCAGCCAAUCCGCGUGCAGGAAGACAGCCGUUAAGGUUGUAAACUGCUUUUAUACGAGAAGAAUAGUAGAUACGCGUAUCUAUUUGACGGUAUCGUAUGAAUAAGCAUCGGCUAACUCCGUGCCAGCAGCCGCGGUAAUACGGAGGAUGCAGGCGUUAUCCGGAAUUAUUAGGUUUAAAGGGUGCGUAGGCAGUUUAAUAAGUCAGUGGUGAAAUUCUCGGGCUCAACCGGAGAACUGCCAAUGAAACUGUUAAACUAGAAUUCAGCUGAGGUAGGCGGAAUGUGUAAUGUAGCGGUGAAAUGCAUAGAUAUUACACAGAACACCAAUUGCGAAGGCAGCUUACUAAACUGCGAUUGACGCUGAUGCACGAAAGCGUGGGUAGCAAACAGGAUUAGAUACCCUGGUAGUCCACGCCGUAAACGAUGAUCACUAGUUGUGUGCGAUAUAUAGUACGUGACUGAGCGAAAGCAUUAAGUGAUCCACCUGGGGAGUAC
rnacentral:rRNA from 1 species